CUUCUCGUAUGAACACUGAAGUUAAGCAACAUCGAGCCUGGUCAGUACUUCAAUGCGUGACUGCUGGGAAUACCAGAUACUGUAA